rnacentral:rRNA from 1 species
UACGAGAGGUCCAAACGUUAUUCGGAAUUACUGGGCUUAAAGAGUUCGUAGGCGGCUAAGUAAGUGGGAUGUGAAAGCCCUCGGCUCAACCGAGGAACUGCGUUCCAAACUACUUAGCUAGAGGAAGAUAGAGGUGAGCAGAACUGAUGGUGGAGCGGUGAAAUGCGUUGAUAUCAUCAGGAAUACCGGAGGCGAAGGCGGCUCACUGGGUCUUUUCUGACGCUGAGGAACGAAAGCUAGGGGAGCAAACGGG